rnacentral:siRNA from 1 species
UAAGGGCUUGAUUGGUUCUCC